rnacentral:rRNA from 1 species
AACGCCGCGUGGAGGAUGAAGACCUUCGGGUCGUAAACUCCUUUCGACCGAGAUGAAUACAUGCUGACCUAAUACGUCGGCGUGCUGACAGUAUCGAGGGAAGAAGCCCCGGCUAACUCCGUGCCAGCACCUGCGGUGACUGAGCGGGCUGGCAAGGCGCAUA